rnacentral:rRNA from 1 species
GAUGAACGCUGGCGGUGUGCCUAAUACAUGCAAGUCGAGCGAACAGACGAGAGUGCUUGCACUCUCUGACGUUAGCGGCGGACGGGUGAGUAACACGUGGGUAACCUACCUAUAAGACUGGGAUAACUUCGGGAAACCGGAGCUAAUACCGGAUAUUAUUUAGCUUCGCAUGAAGCAAUAGUGAAAGACGGUUCUGCUGUCACUUAUAGAUGGACCCGCGGUGUAUUAGCUAGUUGGUGAGGUAACGGCUCACCAAGGCAACGAUACAUAGCCGACCUGAGAGGGUGAUCGGCCACACUGGGACUGAGACACGGCCCAGACUCCUACGGGAGGCAGCAGUAGGGAAUCUUCCGCAAUGGACGAAAGUCUGACGGAGCAAUGCCGCGUGAGUGAAGAAGGUUUUCGGAUCGUAAAACUCUGUUGUAAGGGAAGAACAAGUACGUUAGUAACUGAACGUACCUUGACGGUACCUUACCAGAAAGCCACGGCUAACUACGUG